rnacentral:misc_RNA from 1 species
GAAAUGCGAUAAGUAAUGUGAAUUGCAGAAUUCAGUGAAUCAUCGAAUCUUUGAACGCACAUUGCGCCCGCCAGCACUCUGGCGGGCAUGCCUGUUCGAGCGUCAUUUCAACCAUCAAGCCCCCGGGCUUGUGUUGGGGACCCGCGGCUGCCCGCAGGCCCUGAAAACCAGUGGCGGGCUCGCUGUCACACCGAGCGUAGUAGCAAUCACCUCGCUCAGGGCGUGCUGCGGGUUCCGGCCGUUAAACAGCCUUACAAAACCCAAGGUUGACCUCGGAUCAGGUAGGAAGACCCGCUGAACUUAAGC